rnacentral:sRNA from 1 species
UAUCCCCCAAACCAAGGGGGGAUGAGAACCACCGACCGGGGUUCGACAACUUGGCGCAGCCUAGUUGGACAGACGACGAGGCUUGCCGAGGAGACUGCCCGAAGGGCGAGCGCAGCGAGGUCAAUCCCCCCCUCACAGCCA